rnacentral:lncRNA from 1 species
CCCGAGAGAGAGUCCUGAUUGGACUCAGAGAGAGGGCGGGCACCCAGGGCAACUGGGCGGGCGCCCAGGGCCUGGCCCUGUUCGGCCUCCUCUUCCAUCCCGUGGCUUCUGGAGUCUUCUAGAUAUAAGAUAAUUGCGCAGCACAUUAAUAUCUCUAUGUAAUCCCGACGUGUGAGCCUUUCUUCCGUAUUUCCUGAUAACCCCCUGCACAAAUAGACAAACACC